rnacentral:rRNA from 1 species
ACUCCUACGGGAGGCAGCAGUGGGGUAUUUUGCGCAAUGGGGGCAACCCUGAAGCAGCGACGCUCGUGUGAGUGAUGAAGGCAUUCGGGUCGUAAAACUGUGUCAGAGGGGAAGAAAGGGGAGUAUGGUUAAUA